AGCGAACACUGGCGGCAGGCUUAACACAUGCAAGUCGAGCGGGCACUUUCGGGUGUCAGCGGCGGACGGGUGAGUAACGCGUGGGAACGUGCCCUCUGGUUCGGAAUAACUCAGGGAAACUUGAGCUAAUACCGGAUACGCCCUUUUGGGGAAAGGCUUGCUGCCGGAGGAUCGGCCCGCGUCUGAUUAGCUAGUUGGUGAGGUAACGGCUCACCAAGGCGACGAUCAGUAGCUGGUCUGAGAGGAUGAUCAGCCACACUGGGACUGAGACACGGCCCAGACUCCUACGGGAGGCAGCAGUGGGGAAUAUUGGACAAUGGGCGCAAGCCUGAUCCAGCCAUGCCGCGUGAGUGAUCAAGGCCUUAGGGUUGUAAAGCUCUUUUAUCCGGGACGAUAAUGACGGUACCGGAGGAAUAAGCCCCGGCUAACUUCGUG
rnacentral:rRNA from 1 species